rnacentral:rRNA from 1 species
CCUACGGGAGGCAGCAGUGGGGAAUAUUGCACAAUGGGGGAAACCCUGAUGCAGCGACGCCGCGUGAGUGAAGAAGGCUUUCGGUAUGUAAAGCUCUAUCAGCAGGGAAGAAAAUGACGGUACCUGACUAAGAAGCCGCGGCUAACUACGUACCAGCAGCCGCGGUAAUACGUAGGGGGCAAGCGUUAUCCGGAUGUACUGGGUGUAAAGGGGGCGUAGGCGGCCAGACAAGUCAGAAGUGAAAGCCCAGGGUGCAACCCUUGGACUGCUUUUGAAACUGCCGGGCUGGAGUGCAGGAGAGGUAAGCGGAAUUCCUAGUGUAGCGGUGAAAUGCGUAGAUAUUAGGAGGAACACCAGUGGCGAAGGCGGCUUACUGGACUGUAACUGACGUUGAGGCUCGAAAGCGUGGGGAGCAAACAGGAUUAGAUACCCGGGUAGUC